GAGCAGCAGUGGGGAAUAUUGCACAAUGGGCGCAAGCGUGAUGCAGCCAUGCCGCGUGUGUGAAGAAGGCCUUCGGGUUGUAAAGCACUUUCAGUCGUGAGGAAGGUGGUAGUGUUAAUAGCACUAUCAUUUGACGUUAGCGACAGAAGAAGCACCGGCUAACUCCGUGCCAGCAGCCGCGGUAAUACGGAGGGUGCGAGCGUUAAUCGGAAUUACUGGGCGUAAAGCGCAUGCAGGUGGUUUGUUAAGUCAGAUGUGAAAGCCCGGGGCUCAACCUCGGAAUAGCAUUUGAAACUGGCAGACUAGAGUACUGUAGAGGGGGGUAGAAUUUCAGGUGUAGCGGUGAAAUGCGUAGAGAUCUGAAGGAAUACCGGUGGCGAAGGCGGCCCCCUGGACAGAUACUGACACUCAGAUGCGAAAGCGUGGGGAGCAAACAGGAUUAGAUACCCUGGUAGUCCACGCCGUAAACGAUGUCUACUUGGAGGUUGUGGCCUUGAGCCGUGGCUUUCGGAGCUAACGCGUUAAGUAGACCGCCUGGGGAGUACGGUCGCAAGAUUAAAACUCAAAUGAAUUGACGGGGGCCCGCACAAGCGGUGGAGCAUGUGGUUUAAUUCGAUGCAACGCGAAGAACCUUACCUACUCUUGACAUCCAGAGAACUUUCCAGAGA
rnacentral:rRNA from 1 species